rnacentral:rRNA from 1 species
CCUACGGGAGGCAGCAGUGGGGAAUAUUGGACAAUGGGGGGAACCCUGAUCCAGCCAUGCCGCGUGUGUGAAGAAGGCCUUUUGGUUGUAAAGCACUUUAAGCGAGGAGGAGGCUACUCUAGUUAAUACCUAGAGAUAGUGGACGUUACUCGCAGAAUAAGCACCGGCUAACUCUGUC